rnacentral:rRNA from 1 species
GAUGAACGCUAGCGGCAGGCUUAAUACAUGCAAGUCGUGGGGCAGCAUGAGUGUAGCAGUACAUUUGAUGGCGACCGGCAAACGGGUGCGGAACACGUACACAACCUUCCUAUAAGUGGGGAAUAGCCCAGAGAAAUUUGGAUUAAUACCCCGUAACAUAACGAUGUGGCAUCACAUUGUUAUUAUAGCUUCGGCGCUUAUUGAUGGGUGUGCGGCUGAUUAGAUAGUUGGCGGGGUAACGGCCCACCAAGUCUACGAUCAGUAGCUGAUGUGAGAGCAUGAUCAGCCACACGGGCACUGAGACACGGGCCCGACUCCUACGGGAGGCAGCAGUAAGGAAUAUUGGUUAAUGGACGCAAGUCUGAACCAGCCAUGCCGCGUGAAGGAUUAAGGUCCUCUGGAUUGUAAACUUCUUUUAUCUGGGACGAAAAAAGGCUUUUCUAAGUCACUUGACGGUACCAGAUGAAUAAGCACCGGCUAACUCCGUGCCAGCCGCCGCUGUAACAC